UGAUAUCCCAUAUCUGGAAAGCAGUGA
rnacentral:piRNA from 1 species